rnacentral:rRNA from 1 species
UACGAAGGGGGCUAGCGUUGUUCGGAUUUACUGGGCGUAAAGCGCACGUAGGCGGAUCGAUCAGUCAGGGGUGAAAUCCCAGGGCUCAACCCUGGAACUGCCUUUGAUACUGUCGAUCUGGAGUAUGGAAGAGGUGAGUGGAAUUCCGAGUGUAGAGGUGAAAUUCGUAGAUAUUCGGAGGAACACCAGUGGCGAAGGCGGCUCACUGGUCCGGUACUGACGCUGAGGCACGAAAGCGUGGGGAGCAAACAGG